rnacentral:sRNA from 12 species
UGACGCCUAUAACUGGAUGAAGCAUAUUAUACAAAAUGGUUUUGUAGGCAACCUUAAUAUGUAUAGUCUUGUCUUUAUCGUUACACGAUAAUCAAUUUAUUUC